UCCUCAGUAGCUCAGUUGGUAGAGCAGGUGACUGUUAAUCACCUGGUCGGCGGUUCGAGCCCGUCCUGAGGAGCCA
rnacentral:tRNA from 1 species